rnacentral:rRNA from 1 species
AGGAAGGACUUCAAAAAAAGGGGAAAGAAGGUUUUUUUAUAUAUAUUUUGUUUUUCCCCGUCGGACGAACGCUGGCGGCGUGCCUAAUACAUGCAAGUCGAGCGGACAGAUGGGAGCUUGCUCCCUGAUGUUAGCGGCGGACGGGUGAGUAACACGUGGGUAACCUGCCUGUAAGACUGGGAUAACUCCGGGAAACCGGGGCUAAUACCGGAUGGUUGUUUGAACCGCAUGGUUCAAACAUAAAAGGUGGCUUCGGCUACCACUUACAGAUGGACCCGCGGCGCAUUAGCUAGUUGGUGAGGUAACGGCUCACCAAGGCAACGAUGCGUAGCCGACCUGAGAGGGUGAUCGGCCACACUGGGACUGAGACACGGCCCAGACUCCUACGGGAGGCAGCAGUAGGGAAUCUUCCGCAAUGGACGAAAGUCUGACGGAGCAACGCCGCGUGAGUGAUGAAGGUUUUCGGAUCGUAAAGCUCUGUUGUUAGGGAAGAACAAGUACCGUUCGAAUAGGGCGGUACCUUGACGGUACCUAACCAGAAAGCCACGGCUAACUACGUGCCAGCAGCCGCGGUAAUACGUAGGUGGCAAGCGUUGUCCGGAAUUAUUGGGCGUAAAGGGCUCGCAGGCGGUUUCUUAAGUCUGAUGUGAAAGCCCCCGGCUCAACCGGGGAGGGUCAUUGGAAACUGGGGAACUUGAGUGCAGAAGAGGAGAGUGGAAUUCCACGUGUAGCGGUGAAAUGCGUAGAGAUGUGGAGGAACACCAGUGGCGAAGGCGACUCUCUGGUCUGUAACUGACGCUGGAUGAAGCC